rnacentral:rRNA from 1 species
AUUGAACGCUGGCGGCAGGCCUAACACAUGCAAGUCGAAGGUAGUGGCGGACGGGUGAGUAAUGUCUGGGAACUGCCUGAUGGAGGGGGAUAACUAUUGGAAACGAUAGCUAAUACCGCAUACUAGUAGAUGGACCUGCGGUGUAGUAGCUAGUAGGUAGGGUAAUGGCCUACCUAGGCGACGAUACAUAGCCGACCUGAGAGGGUGAUCGGCCAAACUGGGACUGGGACACGGGCCAGAAUCCUUAGGGAGGCAGCAAGAGGGAAUCUUCGGCAAUUGGGGGAAACCUGACCGAGCAACGCCGGGGGAGUGAAGAAGGGUUUCGGAUCGGAAAGCUCUGUUGUUAAGGAAGCGGUACUUAACCAGAAAGGGACGGCUAACUACGUGCCAGCAGCCGCGGUAAUAC